rnacentral:tRNA from 1 species
AACGAUAUAGUUUAAUUUAGGAUGGAUGCUCUGCAAGUAUUCGGUGAAUGGUGGUUCUAUCGUUG